GUCUGCAGCCAUUCUAUGCUGAACUCUCCCAAACUCAUUUGAUAAUGGAAGCUAAGCAAGGUUGGGCCUGGUUAUAGAACUGUAAUACAUGAAUAAAUGUAAUUUGAUAGUAUUUCUGUCC
rnacentral:rRNA from 1 species